rnacentral:rRNA from 1 species
GAUGAACGCUAGCUACAGGCUUAACACAUGCAAGUCGAGGGGAAACGAUAUUGGAAGCUUGCUUCCGAUAGGCGUCGACCGGCGCACGGGUGAGUAACGCGUAUCCAACCUGCCCAUCACUUGGGGCUAACCUUGCGAAAGUAAGACUAAUACCCAAUGAUAUCUCUAGAAGACAUCUGAAGGAGAUUAAAGAUUUGUCGGUGAUGGAUGGGGAUGCGUCUGAUUAGCUCGUUGGCGGGGUAACGGCCCAGCAAGGCGACGAUCAGUAGGGGUUCUGAGAGGAAGGUCCCCCACAUUGGAGCUGAGACACGGUCCAAACUCCUACGGGAGGCAGCAGUGAGGAAUAUUGGUCAAUGGGCGAGAGCCUGAACCAGCCAAGUAGCGUGCAGGAUGACGGCCCUAUGGGUUGUAAACUGCUUUUAUAAGGGAAUAAAGUGAGUCUCGUGAGACUUUUUGCAUGUGCCUUAUGAAUAAGGACCGGCUAAUUCCGUGCCAGCCGCCGCAGUAA